GACGAACGCUGGCGGCGUGCCUAAUACAUGCAAGUCGAGCGAAGUUUUUCUGGUGCUUGCACCGGAAAAACUUAGCGGCGAACGGGUGAGUAACACGUAAAGAACCUGCCUCAUAGACUGGGACAACUAUUGGAAACGAUAGCUAAUACCGGAUAACAGCAUUAACUGCAUGGUUGAUGUUUGAAAGUUGGUUAUGCUAACACUAUGAGAUGGCUUUGCGGUGCAUUAGCUAGUUGGUGGGGUAAAAGCCUACCAAGGCGACGAUGCAUAGCCGACCUGAGAGGGUGAUCGGCCACACUGGGACUGAGAUACGGCCCAGACUCCUACGGGAGGCAGCAGUAGGGAAUCUUCCGCAAUGGGCGAAAGCCUGACGGAGCAACGCCGCGUGAGUGAAGAAGGAUUUCGGUUCGUAAAGCUCUGUUGUUAGGGAAGAAUGAUUGUGUAGUAACUAUACACAG
rnacentral:rRNA from 1 species